rnacentral:tRNA from 1 species
AGGCGUAUAGCUCAGUUGGUAGAGCGGCGGUCUCCAAAACCGCAGGUCGAGGGUUCGAGACCUUCUGCGCCUG